UUUGGGUCUUGCAUCCUUUAAACAAUUGUACAGAACCUCAAAAUAGCAUGCACUUAUUAUCAAGCCACUUCUCAUUUACAAUUGGUGAAAAAAAAAAGCAAUAAUAGCGAUCAACCUUCCUGGGGAGUCUGUUAAGGCAGAAAAUGGAGAAGAAACUUUAAGACGAAUCUUCUCAGAAAACCAUCAGUGGCUACUUGUGAAGUUUGAACUUUUCAAGGGCUGGAGCUGGUCUUAUGGGCCAAGGAGAGUGUGCCCGGGCAACAAGCUGAGGUUUGGCAUGGGAUUCAUGGGACUAGAGCUAAGUUCAAGAAGUAGAAAAUUCAUGUAUGGGUGGAAAAGGAAUAGUAAUGUAACGGAGUGAGAGAAGUGAUCUUUGGGAAUACCGGAGGUUAAACACUGGACGGGUGCAGAACCACACACAACACACACACAGAAACGGGGAAUUAAGAGAAUCCUCUUUCAGACGUCAGGUAGUUCUCCUGCUCACGUUCUAAGAACUCGGCCUGCUCCCUUCCGACCGAAGCGUCAACUUCGGCAGGGGAAGUGACUGGCAGUACGGAUAGUUAAGCAAUGCCAGUGAUAGGACAUGAAAAAGUGCAAGUUUAUGUAUAUGUGUGUGUAUAUACAUAUUCUUUUUUCAAAAAAGAAGAUGAAGCUGUAAAAGAGGAUAGACAGUAGUGUUACUUUCUAGUUUCCUUGACUAGACUUGAGAAAGGGAUAGAGAAAUAGUUGAUGGAGAUCAUACUUAAAAGUGUUUCCUGUACUUUCUGCGAGCUAGUCCUUAAACAUUUGCCAACACAUUGCUGAAACUCUGUUGGAAACACAGUGGAUCAUGGCCACAUAUGAAGAGGAAAUGGAUCUCAUUUUUGGUGAGAAAGCCUUGCAUUCUAUAUUUUCUUAGCUGACACAGAGUGUCAAUGACGAUAAGCUAUAUUUUUGAAGUUUUAAAACUCUUUUGUUACUAUAUUUUUCUUGCACAUGCAAUUGUAAACCUUAAAAUUUCUUAGACUUAUAAAUGUUGGAAAUUUCACCAUUGGGAAAUUUCAUACUUGAAAAAUUUCUUACUGAUAGUCUAUUAGAAUGUGAACCCCAUUGGCAUGGGAGGUUCCUUCUCCUCCCUACUUAAGAUUACUUUAAGACAGAAACCUUUUGCUGAACAAUGGAAAGGGCUUUGACCUAUGCUUAAGCAUAGAACAGGAAGUUCUUUGAGUCAUGAUUGAUUUUAGAAUUGAUACAAUAGAGAUACUUGGAAUGACAGAACCAGGUCUUGGAACUUCCAAUCUCCACCCUGCUCAGGGUAACAGGAUUUAGGAAGGGCUGCAGCAAGGGAUCAAGAUUUAAUUGAGAAUAUGACCUUCAACAGACAUGUGCAAAGCCACAGACCUCUGGGAGGUCCUGGGUUAAGCUAGAGCCACCAUUGGCACAGGGAAGACAUGGAUAGUGAUUGGUAGAUGUGAGAACUGAGGGGAGGGAACUUGGAUGGUUUCCUUAAAGAUAGUGGGGUCUGAGGACUGAGGGUGGUUGGAGAGUUUUUGCUCUGAGAGGUUGUGUUCUGAGAAGCUUGCUCUGAAGGAAGCUGGAGGUGGAGGCCCCUGAGACUGUUUCUCCAUUUUAGUCACAUGAGUGAUAGGGACUGAUCUCUUUCCUUUGCCUCAGCUAUCUAAGGGCUUGGACCUUUUGGCCCAGCCUAAACAGAGGGGGUAUUUAAGCCCUAUUCCCUUCUCUCUCUCUCUCUCUCUCUCUCUCUCUCUCUCUCUAAUACUUUUCUUCCUCCUGUUUGUAAUUAAACUCCAUAAAAGGUCGACUGCUGACUUGAGUUUUCAUUAAGGAAUUACAUAGCUGAAUUCCUUGGCGACCUUAAAUUAAUAUAUAUCAAUCUUUUAAAGUGAUUUCCUUGUCACACAAUAUACUAUUUCAGUAUUUUUUAUUUUUCUCUCCUUUUUUAUAUUUGAAGCACAUGUCACCAGUAUUAAGAUUUUCUUUAACUUUUUGACUUUUCAAUACUAUAAGUUUAAGAUACAUUUGUCAAUGCAUGCCCAAGAAGCUAGAGACUAUAAAAAUUAUGCCACUAAUCAUUAAAAAAAAUUAUGGGACUUUGCUUAAUGAUUCUGUCUGAUUCCAGGACAAGAUAUACACAAAAGAGCCAUUGCACAGUGCCAAAGAAGCACAAAGCUAAACUGCAUAGUGCCAAUCGAGCACAAGGUCAUAGAGACCAACCAAUCCUGGUGGGAUUGAUGUAAUUUUGAGCCUAGACAAAGAGGACUUGAACGUGUUUGGGGUGUGAGGUUGCGGCUGUUUAACAUGUAUUAAAGGCAGGUCUUCCUUGUACCACAUUCUACCAAGUAUCUCAAAACUUGUCUCCUACUUGGCUCCUAUUAUCUGGUCCCUUUUCUGCCUUUCAUAGUGGUACCUUUCUGUAGUCCUGGCUACUGACUGGGUAAAUGCAUCUUUGCUUAGAUUGUUUGAUUGGGCCCUGAUUCAAGGACCUGUUAUAGAUUUAUUUUUCUUUUUACUUGGAAUUUUUACACUUAAGACUUUGAUAGUCUAAAUUUUCAUCCAGAAAUUUUUCUUUUUUUAAUUUGGAUUUUUCUGAUGUCUUUUUAAUUUCUCUUACCAAUUGGUUCAUACACCUCAUACCUCAGCCAUGCAUCCCUAAGUGAUCCUGUAUUUUUCAAUCACCCACAACACAGGGAAAUGUAAAAAAUAUUAUUAUUUAAAUUACGAAGUUUAAAUUCCUUUUGAGAAGAAUUUUAGGUAAAGAAAGAUGAUACCUCUCUGAAUCCAGAAACUGAACUUUUGGAGAAGACACCAUGAAGAAGCCUCCAGAACACAAGCUGCACAAGAAUGAACUUUGGGUGUGGUUGAUUGAACAUUUAUUUGUAUGUAUACUUUCAUGCCAAAGGGGACUGCCCCCUAACUGGCUUUUUGUCAAUGCAUCCAGCAAUUAUUGGUUUUGUUCUUUUUUUUUCCUCCUCUUAUCCUCACAUUAUUGUAAUCUUUAAGUUGAUUAUGUUUUCAUGAUCCUUUUGGGGAAAAAAUUAAUUUUUUUUCCAAAAAUGAUCACACGGAGAAAUGUAAAAAAUGGAGACUUGAAUUCAGGACUUCAAUCCCCAAGAGUCCUUGCUCACUUCCCAAAAUGCCUUGUAACCUUGCCUGGGCCGAGAUCGAGAUGGGGUAUUUAACCUGAUUGGAAAGGCUUUUAGCUUUUUUUUCUUUCCUGUUUCCGCUUACAAGCAGACACGGCUCUUUUCAUAAUGUAGGUUAGGUUGUCUAAGCCCAAGGCUUAGACACAUGUUUUCUUAUUCUGUAUUUUCUUUAAUCCUCAACCUUUAAUAAACCUCUAAAAAUAUAAUACUCCUUGCAGAGAGAAACUAAUUUCUACCUGCCUCAGUUUCCCCCCUAAAUUUUUAAUCUUUACAAUAUCAAAAAGCUAAAAAAAUGGGAAUUUCCCAUCAGUUGGGGAAUGGCUAAACAAAUUGUGGUAUAUGUUGGUGAUGGAAUACUAAUGUUUUAUAAUGGUUUUUCUUAAUGCAUGGCUUAGGAAAUGAGCAAUGACUUGAUUAUUUGUAAUUACUUAAAUGUCAAACAAUUCUGAAGAAUACUAAUUUUGGUUGUAUUAUUUUAACUGUGAAUUUAAUAUCUCUAAUAUCAAGAGAAAAUGAAAAAAGAUAACCUUUUCAAGGUUACAAGGUUUCUGUAACAGAAUAAGUAGACAAGAUUUUUUCUAUACUUUCUUUCAUCUUUAGAAAGGUAUUAGAAGAUUGGAAAAUUAGUUCCAUAUGAGUAAUAUUUAAAAUAUUAUAAGUUUCACGAGGCAAUGCUCCUGUUUCUUUUUCAUAUACUACAUUUUAUAA